ACCGGCAACUAUGCUCAAAUUUUUAUACCUAAAACAUUGCCUAUAGAUUUAUAGUCAGUCAACCUUACGGAGUUAUCAUUGGAGGACGAUGGAAACGAAAAGUAGAUGGCGCCAAUACCGUGGUCUCCAAAAAAGAGAUAAAAGAUUGAGAUGGAAAGUGUCGUAAUAAAAAGUUGUAAAUGAUUAUUUUUAUGUUUCUGACAGGCUUUCUCUCCGUGACGUGCUCAUUUGCGUUGCAAUUUGUAAACAUAUAAUAGGUUAUUAGUAGUGGAUUUUUGUGAUUCUGAGAUCAGAAUCACGAUUGUUUUCUUCAUAAUCAGUUUGUGUUAAUUGUGCAUUUAGUAGUUAUUAGUUUGUGUCAUUUGUACUUUUAUAAGACAAUAAUUGUGAGCGAGUUGUGACAGCACAAAAAGAUGUCUGGCAACAAAUGUGGACUCUCAACUAGAAAUGACCAUAGUUUGAGUUUUUUCCGUUUUCCAGUCAAAGAUCCUACAAGAUGUAAACAAUGGAUAAUCCAUUCAGGCAACAUCACAUUGCCUGGUCUGAGCCCAAAAACACUAAGUGCAGCAGACAUUUCGACCCACGAUUUCUUCAACACAAACGGUUGCCAGGAUCAUUGGAUGAGGAUGGAAACAUUUUUAAUACAGUAGAGGACAGUUCUCUAGAGACCACCGAGGAGGAGGAGGAGUUUUCAAACUUAAGUACAGCAACAGAAACAUCAAAUGCACCUGCAGAUACAAUAGAUAAUUUUUCUGCAACAGUAGAAUCCUGCGCAGUAGUAUACCUUGCUGGUUACUUAGUAGAAAAAUGUUUAGACCGAU